rnacentral:tRNA from 1 species
GGUGGUGUAGCUCAGUGGUAGAGCACAUGCUUAGCAUGCAUGAGGUCCUGGGUUCAAUCCCCAGUACCUCCA